AGAGUAGACGCAGGCGGUUGCAGAUCAGUCAUAGUUACUGGUUUGAGGAAAGUCCGGACUCCCGAAAAACCAAACUUGCUGGAUAACGUCCAGUGCGAGCGAUCGUGAGGAUAGUGCCACAGAAAGAUACCGUCAGAUUAAUUUUACAUUUUUAAUUGAUCUGGUAAGGGUGCAAAGGUGCGGUAAGAGCGCACCAGCAGUAUCGAGAGGUGCUGGCUCGGUAAACCCCGGUUGGGAGCAAGGCGAUAGGAACUACGGUUGGUUUUUUACCAGUUCCGCUCAAUGAGAGCCGCUAGAGGCGUUUGGUAACAAGCGUCCCAGAUAGAUAACUGCCCUCGCAAGAGAACAGAACCCGGCUUAUGUACUGCUCUUUCC
rnacentral:RNase_P_RNA from 1 species